UACGGGGGGAGCAAGCGUUGUUCGGAUUUACUGGGCGUAAAGGGCGGGUAGGCGGCCACCGCAAGUCAGUUGUGAAAUCUCUGGGCUUAACCCAGAAAGGUCAACUGAUACUGCGGGGCUAGAGUGCAGAAGGGGCAACUGGAAUUCUCGGUGUAGCGGUGAAAUGCGUAGAUAUCGUAAGGAAGACCAGUGGCGAAGGCGGGUCUCUGGACAGUUCCUGACGCUGAGGCACGAAGGUCAGGGGAGCAAACGGG
rnacentral:rRNA from 1 species